AUCUAAGAAGCAAAAAACCUAGGGGGGAAAUCUGGUCCAAAAAUUCCAUAGAUUCGAGCGAUGGGGUGGGCAACAUGGUUCCUAGCGGCGGUGUGCUUCUUUGCUGCGAGCCAACUCUUCGUCUCUGAUGCUCUUGAUUCCCCCUUCGGCGUAGGCUCCGUCACCUCCGCCAAGCUGGCUCAUGUCCUCUCCUUUGCCACUUUCUGGGGCGCCGCCCUCUAGCCAACCUUCAUUAGCGCCAUCAUAAUGUUCAGGAACCUAUUGAGGCACAUUCGACAACCUGUAGAGCAAGCUGUUCCUAGCUGACUUCACGCUUGCAGGAGAUUUGGCAUUCAAGAGUAAUUCAGUUCUGGAAGCAUAUGAAGUCUGAGAUACAGAAGGAUUCCUUUCGAAACAUUUAUGGAUAUGAGUGCUAACCUUGACAGAUUUGCAGCAUCUUUGAAGAAAAAGGAUGGUUGGGUUAUGAAUAUAUUCCCUUUUACAGAAUAAGGAAGCUAAAUAUUAUAUAUGAUCAUGGUUUAAUGGGGACUGCCCAUGAUUGGUAAGAUUCUCCUGGCAAUCACAAAACUAGGCUAACCUCGACACAUGGUAAGCACCAAUUGCAAAACUGCAUUUUUACAAAGUUGUUUUGUAGCACUAAAUUUUCUGUACCUUUUCAUCUCAGAGCUACUAUUAAUUUCAUAACAAUCCCAUUGUGCUCUCAUGUUGCAGAACUAUUCUCCUGGCAAUUUGUAUAACGAACUAUGUUUUUUUUCAUCAUUCUAUGUCUCAAGCUCCACUUUGUAAUGUGUAGGUUUGUGAAAUGGGAUGAUGACAUAAGUUUAGGUUUUGAUACAAAUUCUUUAAGAGGUCUAUUUUCUGAUUUAAAAUGACAAUGGACGUAGUUUACAUAAUUCAAAAUAUAGUUGUGAUACAGAAGAGCAAACGAACAUUGUAUUUUUGUGAAAUAAGUUUCCAAAUGUGUUGGCCAUAUUUUUUACAUUAUAGAAUAGUUCUGUAAAAAAUACUCGCUUGUUUUCACCUAAUGCCUUUUUGUGGUUCUACUUUUUUUUUCUUUUGCACACUGAUCAGUUUAUUUAUGUAGUUUAAUUCACAGAAUUCCUAUAUAUCUUCCCAAGUGAAUCUUGGGCUUGGAGUUCAAGGAUCAAGUAUUACCUCAUCUACAACACCAUAAUUUUGAGUCCCCAGUUCUGCAGAAAUAUAAAUGAUGGCUUAUUUAAUUACUUUCAGAUGGCAAAAGAAAUUGCAUUGCUUGAGGUAUUUUAUCACAUAUAGUUGUUUUUCGUGCAUUGAGAAUUUACACCUAUAUGUGCAGAUGAUAUAUGGGCAUAUAAAUGUGAAGAACAACAAAUUUUGGCUGAAGAUGUUGGUGUCGAAUCUUUUAUGACAACAGGAGAAAAUAAACAAGCAAGUGAAGAUGACCCAAAGAUUCUAUAUUCGUUGGUAUUGUCCUUCUGGGCUACUCUUUUUGCUACUGAGGUGCAAAGUGAAUCCAAGUGGAAGCAAUUAGGGGAGUUAGCUAUGUCAAAUGGAAAGGUACAGCUAUCGGGUCUAUCAUUUAUCUUGCAUGCACAAUGCCACAGUCUGCAUUGUCAUAUGUUGAUGUCCAGUUAUUUUUUAUAAAAGAUGUUUGUUUUCAAUGAACUAACAAAUAUAGUUUCAAUGUUCCAUUAUUAUUUUCGAAUAAAGAGAUAUUUUGUUUUCGUUAGUUAUUACAUGACACUGUAGACGUCAUGUUUAUUGUAUCAACCCGCUUUUACAUUUUGUGGGUCAUUGUGUCGAGGAGCAGAAUUUUUUGGGGGAGGGAAAAAGCUACCCUAGCAGGGUCUGGCCGGUUUCCUUUUCAGUUGGGGGGGUCUUCAGGCUCGGAGAUAAAUAGGUUUGAUCAAAGCACUCCAGUCCAUUAUUCAUAUUCGUUCACACAAGAUUAAUAGGUUGACCGUUUUUUUUGUUAAUUCCUUGAUGUUUAUUUUAUUUUAGCAGUUUACAUAUUUGGUUUGCUGCUUAGUCAUUUGAAGGUAAUGUUUCAAGCAUAUGGCAUAUUUCUAAGUUCUGGCCUUGUUUAUUAUAUUAUUAGUGCCCUUGUUUAUUAUUGUUUCUUACUGGUUUGGGAUGAAUCUGUGCUUUCUCAGGUUAGGAAACUGGAGGCGUACAUCAUCAGUUAUUGGUACAAGAAAGGGCACAGACCAAUAGAGCAUCCUUUGCUCCCAGAUGCAAGAAGAAUAGUGAAGUUUGACCUAUAUGAUGACUCAGUUUCAACCAGAAUAUAAUGUAAUGAUGUAUCUUGCACCUGCUCAUCAGAGAGUGAGAUCUGUUGUUUGUAGCUUAGUAGAAGAUUACAAGGGAGAAACAUAUGAUGUGUAGAGAUUUGCUGUCUCUCUCUUUCACUCUCGUAGAAUGCAAUUUUUCAGGGAAACUUAAAUUUAUAUCCUUUUCUAGCCCGUGGA